rnacentral:rRNA from 1 species
CAGUAACCUUUUACUAGAAAUCUAGUUCAUUUACUUUGAGUAAAUUAGAGUGUUCAAGGCAAGCAAACUUGUUUCUGCAAUGAAUACUAUUAGCAUGGGAUAAUGGAACAGGACACGUAUUCUAGUUUUCCGUUGGUUUCUAGAAUUUUUGUACUCUUCGGAGUGCGUAGUGUAAUGAUUAAAAGGGACAGUUGGGGGCAUUCGUAUUUCAUUGUCAGAGGUGAAAUUCUUGGAUUUAUGAAAGACGAACUUCUGCGAAAGCAUUUGUCAAAGAUGUUUUCAUUAAUCAAGAACGAGAG